GCCUGGCUGGCUCAGUCAGUGGAGCAUGAGACUCUUGAUCUUGAGGUUAUGAAUUCAAGCCUUAUGUUGGGUG
rnacentral:tRNA from 1 species